rnacentral:rRNA from 1 species
AGUGAACGCUGGCGGUAGGCCUAACACAUGCAAGUCGAACGGCAGCACAGUAAGAGCUUGCUCUUACGGGUGGCGAGUGGCGGACGGGUGAGGAAUACAUCGGCAUCUACUUUUUCGUGGGGGAUAACGUAGGGAAACUGACGCUAAUACCGAAUACGACCUACGGGUGAAAGCAGGGGAUCUUCGGACCUUGCGCGAUUGAAUGAGACGAUGUCGGAUUAGCUAGUUGGCGGGGUAAAGGCCCACCAAGGCGACGAUCCGUAGCUGGUCUGAGAGGAUGAUCAGCCACACUGGAACUGAGACACGGUCCAGACUCCUACGGGAGGCAGCAGUGGGGAAUAUUGCACAAUGGGCGCAAGCCUGAUCCAGCCAUACCGCGUGGGUGAAGAAGGCCUUCGGGUUGUAAAGCCCUUUUGUUGGGAAAGAAAAACAGCAGGUUAAUACCCCGCUGUUCUGACGGUACCCAAAGAAUAAGCACCGGCUAACUUCGUG